rnacentral:piRNA from 2 species
GGAGGUGAUGAACUGUCUGAGCCUGACC